rnacentral:rRNA from 1 species
AGUGAACGCUGGCGGUAGGCCUAACACAUGCAAGUCGAACGGCAGCACAGUAAGAGCUUGCUCUUACGGGUGGCGAGUGGCGGACGGGUGAGGAAUACAUCGGAAUCUACUUUUUCGUGGGGGAUAACGUAGGGAAACUUACGCUAAUACCGCAUACGACCUACGGGUGAAAGCAGGGGAUCUUCGGACCUUGCGCGAUUGAAUGAGCCUAUGUCGGAUUAGCUAGUUGGCGGGGUAAAGGCCCACCAAGGCGACGAUCCGUAGCUGGUCUGAGAGGAUGAUCAGCCACACUGGAACUGAGACACGGUCCAGACUCCUACGGGAGGCAGCAGUGGGGAAUAUUGGACAAUGGGCGCAAGCCUGAUCCAGCCAUACCGCGUGGGUGAAGAAGGCCUUCGGGUUGUAAAGCCCUUUUGUUGGGAAAGAAAAGCAGCAGGUUAAUACCCCGCUGUUCUGACGGUACCCAAAGAAUGAGCACCGGCUAACUUCGUG